CCCUUAGAUGUUCUGGGCUGCACGCGCGCUACACUGAUGCAUGCAACGAGUCUAAAACCUGCUCUGAUAGGGGUGGGUAAUCUUUUGAAUGUGCAUCGUGAUUGGGAUAGAUGAUUGCAAUUUUUCAUCUUCAACGAGGAAUGCCUAGUAAACGCAAGUCAUCAGCUUGCAUUGAUUACGUCCCUGCCCUUUGUACACACCGCCCGUCGCUCCUACCGAUUGAAUGAUCCGAUGAAUAUCAUGGAUUGAGGAUGUAAGUAGGUUCACCUAUCUUCAUCUUCGAGAAGUGAAGUAAAUCUUAUCAUUUAGAGGAAGGAGAAGUCGUAACA
rnacentral:rRNA from 1 species